rnacentral:rRNA from 1 species
CCUACGGGAGGCAGCAGUGGGGAAUAUUGCACAAUGGGGGAAACCCUGAUCUAGCCAUGCCGCGUGAGUGAUGAAGGCCCUAGGGUCGUAAAGCUCUUUCGCCAGGGAUGAUAAUGACAGUACCUGGUAAAGAAACCCCGGCUAACUCCGUGCCAGCAGCCGCGGUAAUACGGAGGGGGUUAGCGUUGUUCGGAAUUACUGGGCGUAAAGCGCGCGUAGGCGGAUUAGAAAGUUGGGGGUGAAAUCCCGGGGCUCAACCCCGGAACUGCCUCCAAAACUACUAGUCUAGAGUUCGAGAGAGGUGAGUGGAAUUCCGAGUGUAGAGGUGAAAUUCGUAGAUAUUCGGAGGAACACCAGUGGCGAAGGCGGCUCACUGGCUCGAUACUGACGCUGAGGUGCGAAAGUGUGGGGAGCAAACAGGAUUAGAUACCCUGGUAGUCCACACCGUAAACGAUGAAUGCCAGUCGUCGGGGCGCUUGCGCUUCGGUGACACACCUAACGGAUUAAGCAUUCCGCCUGGGGAGUACGGUCGCAAGAUUAAAACUCAAAGGAAUUGACGGA